GAUUGUCACUGUCAGUUGUCACUAUCGCCAGUGUCAGUGUCGUAAUUCUGUCACUGGGAGAGUGAUGAUUGCCGGUGACGAU